GGCGUUGGAUCAGAUCAUCGCGGCCGCAAAUUAAUGAGAGACAAUAAGAUAUUUAGGGUUUGCUUUGAAGAGAGAGAGAAGAGAGAAGAGAGGAGAGAGGUGGUUUUGGUAUCGUAUUGGUUGUUUGUCCGAUUGGGGAUGAGGUUUGAGAAAAUUUCAAUGUCUUUUCCUUUUUUAGAAUGACCCAAGAUAUUGCAAAUUUCAUUCUCAAAAUACUUAAAAACCUUUGGCAGCUUGAAUCAUUUUGCAGUUUCAAAAGAGAAUAAGGGGUCAUGAAUAUGAUGCACCCAAUGAAGAAUUAAGGUGAACAUCUUUACAAUAACAGUGAAGCAGUAACAAUUAAAAUAUUCCAAAUAGCUUAAGAAACCACACUUGUUUUCUAUGUCACCUAACAUAACUCAUAAACUACUAAAUUUAAAUGAGAGUUACCCAAAGGCACAAUGAAGACCAGGGAGUUACAGAAAAUAGUUUACAAUUGUCGGAAAACUGAGAUGCAAGAACAAGACAGAAAGCUGAGUCUCGUAUCUUAUUCAGUGAAUACCUUUUUACAACAGCUUAACUGUCUAUUAUAUGCUUUUUCAGUGAAUACCUUUGUAAUACUCCUACAAAGAACCCAAAAACAACUCCAGCGAAUGUCGUAACUAUUAGCAAGUUUUUGUAAAUACGCUCUAGAAAAUAUCAACCACAGUAACAAUGUUUUUCCUCUUUCUUCCAAAGCACUGAUUAUUCUUUUGGCUAAAACAAACACUAUCAACAACUUUGCUUAAAAAAGCUACUCAAUUUUUAAUUUCUAGUACAAUUAUAAUUCUUGAGAUAAAUUUCAAAUACUUGGAUAAUAUCAAUUAUUUUUGGGUAUCAUUGAAUAGAAAAGAGUGUUAAACAUAUGUGCAAAAGGAAGAGACAGGUGUUUAAAGACGUGAAAUAAAGAGGACAAAAAGUUGGGAAUUAGGAUUGCAUGCACAUUGAAGAAACUAACAGAAUCAUAGAGGCACUAAAAACAGAAAGCCAAAGAGUAAAAAAUAAAAAUUUAUUCCAUAUAAAAAUCCAAAGCCAAAUCAAGUUAAUAAGUUCCUGCAAUAACUACAUAUAUCGAAUAUAGAAUACAAGAAUAAUAAGACACAAAACAAAUCAACGAGCUUACUUAUAAUAUGAGCUCCAGGUAUAAACAGAGACAUUACAUUACCUUACAAAUGUUGGUUGCCGUACUCUAAUUCCUUGCAGUUUUGGGGCCAAAUAACAACGUUAAUCUCUGGACAUGUUGCAUAGAUAACAUGACAAUUACAAUCCACUUAUGAAAGUGUUAAUUAAAAACCUUUUCAUGUAGUCACUUUAUCAAAGAUGUAGGUUCAACCUACAAAACUUAAAAAUUAAAAUGAAAGAUUCAACAGAAUAUGCCACAAAAUAAAAACUAAGGCAAUUCUUUUUCUUUAAUGCAUUCCAUCAAACACCUAGUGGGCUUCGUUAGAAACUAUUUCGUCUAAUUUUUUUUCAGUCCAGAAAAUACCAAAUUAGCCCCAAAAAAGAAAAGACUGCUGAAUAAUAUCAUCAAAAUGCAAAGUUCAUACGUUCAAGAUGCAUUCGGCAUAGACAUAAGCACUUGAAUGUACAUGAACAUUUAAUAGCUUGAGCUUUAGCAUGUCAGUAGAGAUAAUUUGAGAAACAACCAUGAAUCCAGCCCAAAAAUCAGAAAAAAAAGGAAAAAAUUGACAAAAUUUAGAAGACCUAACAACUUAAUCAAUUUAAAAUCUAUUUGCAAUCUCACGUAUUUCUCUGAGAAUCUAAAUUCAAAUCCACCAAAAUGGAAAUCGGUAGCAUAAUCUCAAAACAAAAAUCAACAUAUAUGAAAAUGAAUUUACUCGAUCUUCUAUUUUGAAAAGCAAUGCAAGUCCUAUGAACGGAAAAUUUACCUCAGAGCAGCGGCGGCUUGGCCUGGCUUUGAACACUAUUUGAACACUAUUUGAACGGAAAAUUUGCGCGUGCAUCGUCGUCGUAGUCGUCGUCAGUGUUCUAACGACAGCAAGAACACUAUUUGAACAACGGCAAAGAUGCGGGAUUGAUUUCUAGGGUUUGGCAAGCGUGUUGUUUCACAGUGUUAGUUGAUGAGUGGCAUGCGUUAUGUGGUGAGCAAUAAGUGAUUAAGUGAGUUCGGUGACAUGAGAAAUUUUU
rnacentral:lncRNA from 1 species